GAUGAAGGAACGCAGCGAAACGCGAUAAGUAAUGUGAAUUGCAGAAUUCAGUGAAUCAUCGAAUCUUUGAACGCACAUGGCGCCCGUCAGUAUCCUGGCGGGCAUGCCUGUCCGAGCGUCGUUUCAACCCUCGAGCCCUGUACUGCUCGGCGUUGGGGACCUACGGCUGCCGUAGCCCCCUAAAACUAGUGGCGGACCCGUUGGCCCAUCCUCUGUGUAGUAGCAUUAGCCUCGCAUUGGUGGUCGGUGGUGCCCGUCGGAAAACACAAAGCCCGUCCUCGCGGCGGCAUCAGGUUGACCUCGGAUCAGGUAGGGAUACCCGCUGAACUUAAGCAUAUCAAUAAGCGGAGGA
rnacentral:misc_RNA from 1 species